rnacentral:lncRNA from 1 species
AUCCCGGCCAAACGGCCGGAAUACGCGGCCGAAGCCCAGCGGCGCCGCCGCGCCCCCUCUCGAUUUUUGCCUCCGACGAGGCCCUUCCCGGCCUCCGUUCGAUGCAAUUUUUAUAUCACCGUGAUCACCAUUCUUUUCUCUACAGGUUGACCGGAGCCGAAUCACCAAAACACGAACCUCGCCGGAGAGCCGCCGCACCCGAGAGCGCCGCCGCCGGUAAGCUCCGUUUUUCCGUGAUUUUUUGGCCCCCCGAGGGCCCUAGGGUUGUUUUCUGAC